CAAAACAUAACCAUCAACGAUUCGGUUCACUUACUACUUUAAUUUGCAAGCUCUGACUUCGACCAGCCAUUUAUUCCUCACUUCACAUCUAAUUUCAUCAAAUAUUAUAUAAUAGUUGAAGCCCUUUAAGUCAGCUUUCCAACUCCAUCUUUCGAUUGUUAAAUACUUUUCUACAACUCUUUAUAUGCUUGAAAGAGUGACAGUAGGUACAAAUUUCACAUCUAGACUUUAAAUAGCCGUAACUCUCUCAUUGCAGACUCAAAGUUAACAACCCUUGUACAAAAAUUGUAUUCCUUCAAACAAAAUUUCUAAUGACAUCUUUUGUUUUUUAGAAAACCUUCUACAAUUUUCUGUAUGCUUAAAAGAGUGACAAUCGAUAAACAAUUCAUACCCUAACUUCAAACAACCUUAACUUCUUCAUACAAAACUCAAAUAUCAAACUUUAUACAC
rnacentral:lncRNA from 1 species